rnacentral:rRNA from 1 species
UCAGAGGGAGGUAGAAUUNCACGUGUAGCAGUGAAAUGCGUAGAGAUGUGGAGGAAUACCGAUGGCGAAGGCAGCCUCCUGGGAUAACACUGACGUUCAUGCUCGAAAGCGUGGGUAGCAAACAGGAUUAGAUACCCUGGUAGUCCACGCCCUAAACGAUGUCAAUUAGCUGUUGGGCAACUUGAUUGCUUAGUAGCGUAGCUAACGCGUGAAAUUGACCGCCUGGGGAGUACGGUCGCAAGAUUAAAACUCAAAGGAAUUGACGGGGACCCGCACAAGCGGUGGAUGAUGUGGAUUAAUUCGAUGCAACGCGAAGAACCUUACCUGGUCUUGACAUGUACGGAAUCCUCCAGAGACGGAGGAGUGCCUUCGGGAGCCGUAACACAGGUGCUGCAUGGCUGUCGUCAGCUCGUGUCGUGAGAUGUUGGGUUAAGUCCCGCAACGAGCGCAACCCUUGUCAUUAGUUGCCAUCAUUUAGUUGGGCACUCUAAUGAGACUGCCGGUGACAAGCCGGAGGAAGGUGGGGAUGACGUCAAGUCCUCAUGGCCCUUAUGACCAGGGCUUCACACGUCAUACAAUGGUCGGUACAGAGGGUAGCCAAGCCGCGAGGUGGAGCCAAUCUCACAAAACCGAUCGUAGUCCGGAUUGCACUCUGCAACUCGAGUGCAUGAAGUCGGAAUCGCUAGUAAUCGCAGGUCAGCAUACUGCGGUGAAUACGUUCCCGGGUCUUGUACACACCGCCCGUCACACCAUGGGAGUGGGGGAUACCAGAAGUAGGUAGGGUAACCGCAAGGAGCCCG